rnacentral:rRNA from 1 species
CCUACGGGGGGCAGCAGUGGGGAAUAUUGGACAAUGGGGGCAACCCUGAUCCAGCCAUGCCGCGUGUGUGAAGAAGGCCCUCGGGUUGUAAAGCACUUUCAGUGAGGAAGAACGCCUGGUGGUUAAUACCCAUCAGGAAAGACAUCACUCGCAGAAGAAGCACCGGCUAACUCCGUGCCAGCAGCCGCGGUAAUACGGAGGGUGCGAGCGUUAAUCGGAAUUACUGGGCGUAAAGCGCGCGUAGGUGGCUUGAUAAGCCGGUUGUGAAAGCCCCGGGCUCAACCUGGGAACGGCAUCCGGAACUGUCAAGCUAGAGUGCAGGAGAGGAAGGUAGAAUUCCCGGUGUAGCGGUGAAAUGCGUAGAGAUCGGGAGGAAUACCAGUGGCGAAGGCGGCCUUCUGGACUGACACUGACACUGAGGUGCGAAAGCGUGGGUAGCAAACAGGAUUAGAUACCCUGGUAGUC